AUCGAACGCUCGCGGCAUGCCUUACACAUGCAAUGCGAACGGCAGCGGGGGUUAGCUUGCUAACCUGCUGGCGAGUGGCGACCGGGAGAGUAAUGCAUCGGAACGUACCCAGUAGUGGGGGAAAACUUACCGAAAGGUAGGCUAAUACCGCAUACGCACUGACGUGGAAAGCGUGGGACAUUCGGGCCUCGCGCUACUGGAGCGGCCGUUGUCGGAUUAGCUAGUUGGUGAGGUAAAGGCUCACCAAGGCGACGAUCCGUAGCUGGUCUGAGAGGAUGAUCAGCCACACUGGAACUGAGACACGGUCCAGACUCCUACGGGAGGCAGCAGUGGGGAAUUUUGGACAAUGGGGGCAACCCUGAUCCAGCCAUGCCGCGUGAGUGAAGAAGGCCUUCGGGUUGUAAAGCUCUUUCGGCGGGGAAGAAAACGCACGGACGAAUAAUCUGUGUGGAUGACGGUACCCGAAGAAGAAGCACCGGCUAACUACGUGCCAGCCGCCGCGGUAAUAC
rnacentral:rRNA from 1 species